GAUGAAAAACGUAGCGAAAUGCGAUACGUAAUGUGAAUUGCAGAAUUCAGUGAAUCAUCGAGUCUUUGAACGCACAUUGCGCCCCCUGGUAUUCCGGGGGGCAUGCCUGUCCGAGCGUCAUUGCUGCCCUCAAGCACGGCUUGUGUGUUGGGCCUCCGUCCUCCUCCCGGGGGACGGGCCCGAAAGGCAGCGGCGGCACCGCGUCCGGUCCUCGAGCGUAUGGGGCUUCGUCACCCGCUCUUGUAGGCCCGGCCGGCGCCUGCCGACACAUCAAUCUUUUUUCCAGGUUGACCUCGGAUCAGGUAGGGAUACCCGCUGAACUUAAGCAUAUCAAUAAGCGGAGGA
rnacentral:misc_RNA from 1 species